rnacentral:rRNA from 1 species
CCUGCCCACUGAAUUUUUUUAAAUGGCCGCAGUAUUCUAACUGUGCAAAGGUAGCAUAAUCAUUAGUCUUUUAAUUGGAGGCUGGAAUGAAUGGUUGGAUGAGAUAUUAACUGUUUCAUAAAAAUUUAUAGUAGAAUUUUAUUUUUUAGUUAAAAAGCUAAAAUAAAAUUAAAAGACGAGAAGACCCUAUAAAUCUUUAUAUUUAAAAAAUUAUAAUUAUAUAGAUAAACUUAAUUUUAAUUUUUAAAAAUAUUUUAUUGGGGUGAUAUUAAAAUUUAAUAAACUUUUAAUUUAUUAUACACAUAAAUUAAUGAAUUUUUGAUCCAUUUAUUAUGAUUAAAAAAUUAAGUUACUUUAGGGAUAACAGCGUAAUUUUUUUAGAGAGUUCAUAUUGAUAAAAAAGAUUGCGACCUCGAUGUUGGAUUAAGAUACAGUUUUAGGUGCAGCAGCUUAAACUUAAAGUCUGUUCGACUUUUAAAUUCUUACAUGA